rnacentral:tRNA from 47 species
GGGGUCGUAGCUCAGCUGGGAGAGCACCUGCCUUGCACGCAGGGGGUCAGGAGUUCGAUCCUCCUCGGCUCCACCA